rnacentral:rRNA from 1 species
GUGCCAGCCCCGCGGUAAUACCGGCAGCCCGAGUGAUGGCCGAUCUUAUUGGGCCUAAAGCGUCCGUAGCUGGCUGCGCAAGUCCAUCGGGAAAUCCACUCGCUUAACGAGUGGGCGUCCGGCGGAAACUGUGCGGCUUGGGACCGGAAGAUCCAAGGGGUACGUCCGGGGUAGGAGUGAAAUCCUGUAAUCCUGGACGGACCGUCGGUGGCGGAAGCGCCUCGGGAAGACGGAUCCGACGGUGAGGGACGAAAGCUAGGGUCUCGAACCGGAUUAGAUACCCCGGUAGUCC